rnacentral:rRNA from 1 species
AGAGUUUGAUCCUGGCUCAGAUUGAACGCUGGCGACGUGCUUAACACAUGCAAGUCGAACGAGAACGGGUUUCUUCGGAAACCUUAUUAAAGUGGCGCACGGGUGAGUAACGCGUAGAUAAUCUACCUUUAAGACUGGGAUAACGGACCGAAAGGCCCCCUAAUACCGGAUACGCUCUUUUUAGCAUAAGUUAAGAAGAAGAAAGAUGGCCUCUCCUUGGAAGCUAUUGCUUAUUGAUGAGUCUGCGUACCAUUAGCUAGUUGGUGGGGUAAGAGCCUACCAAGGCUACGAUGGUUAGCGGGUCUGAGAGGAUGAUCCGCCACACUGGGAACUGAAACACGGACCAGACUCCUACGGGGAGGCAGCAGUGAGGAAUUUUGCGCAAUGGGGGAAACCCUGACGCAGCGACGUCGCGUGGACGAUGAAGGCCUUAGGGUUGUAAAGUCCUGUCAGAAGGGAAGAAAUGCAUAUGGGCUAAUACCUUAUAUGUUUGACGGUACCUUCAAAGGAAGCACCGGCUAACUCCGUGCCAGCAGCCGCGGUAAUACGGAGGGUGCAAGCGUUAAUCGGAAUUACUGGGCGUAAAGGGCGCGUAGGCGCCUAUCAAGUCAGGUGUGAAAUCCCAAGGUCAACCUUGGAGGUGCAUCUGAAACUGGUGGGCUUGAGUAUGGGGAGAGAAAAGUGGGAAUUCCUGGGUGUAGAGGUGAAAUUCGUAGAUAUCGGGGAGGGAACACCAGUGGCAAGGCGACUUUCUGGGACCAAUACUUGACUCUAAGCCCCGAAAGCCGUGGGGGAGCAAACAAGGAUUAGAUACCCUGGGUAGUCCACAGCUGUAAACGAUGUCAACUAGGUGUUGGGGGGUGUUGACCCCUCCAGCGCCCCAGCUAACGCAUUAAGUUGACCCCCUGGGGGAGUAC